GGCUGCGUAGUUCAACGGAUAGAAUAGGCGUUUCCUAAACGCUUGAUAGGAGUUCGAUUCUCCUCGCGGCUA
rnacentral:tRNA from 1 species